GACGAACGCUGGCGGCGUGCUUAACACAUGCAAGUCGAACGGAAAGGCCCUGCUUUUGUGGGGUGCUCGAGUGGCGAACGGGUGAGUAACACGUGAGUAACCUGCCCUUGACUUUGGGAUAACUUCAGGAAACUGGGGCUAAUACCGGAUAGGAGCUCCUGCUGCAUGGUGGGGGUUGGAAAGUUUCGGCGGUUGGGGAUGGACUCGCGGCUUAUCAGCUUGUUGGUGGGGUAGUGGCUUACCAAGGCUUUGACGGGUAGCCGGCCUGAGAGGGUGACCGGCAACAUUGGGACGGAGAUACGGCCCAGACUCCUACGGGAGGCAGCAGGGGGGAAUAUUGCACAAUGGGCGGAAGCCGGAUGCAGGAACGCGGGGGGGGGGAUGCCGGCCUUCGGGUUGUAAACCGCUUUCGCCUGUGACGAGGCGUGAGUGACGGUAAUGGGUAAAGAAGCACCGGCUAACUACGUG
rnacentral:rRNA from 1 species